UCGAGGGGCAGCGGGGGCGUAGCAAUAUGCCUGCCGGCGACCGGCGCACGGGUGAGUAACACGUAUGUAACCUGCCCUAUGCAGGGGGAUAACCCGGAGAAAUCCGGCCUAAUACCGCGUAACACCUUUGGGGAGCAUUCCCUUGGGGUUAAAGGAGAGAUCCGGCAUAGGAUGGACAUGCGUCGCAUUAGGUAGAUGGCGGGGUAACGGCCCACCGUGCCGACGAUGCGUAGGGGUUCUGAGAGGAAGGCCCCCCACACUGGUACUGAGACACGGACCAGACUCCUACGGGAGGCAGCAGUGAGGAAUAUUGGUCAAUGGCCGAGAGGCUGAACCAGCCAAGUCGCGUGAGGGAAGAAUGUCCUAAGGAUUGUAAACCUCUUUUGUCGGGGAGCAAAAAGGCUCUGCGGAGUCGUAUUGAGAGUACCCGAAGAAAAAGCAUCGGCUAACUCCGUGCCAGCAGCCGCGGUAAUACGGAGGAUGCGAGCGUUAUCCGGAUUUAUUGGGUUUAAAGGGUGCGCAGGCGGCGUGUCAAGCAAGCGGUAAAAUAGCGGGGCUCAACCCCGUCGAGCCGUUUGAACUGGCGCGCUUGAGUUCAGGCGAGGUAGGCGGAAUUCGUGGUGUAGCGGUGAAAUGCAUAGAUCUCCCGAGGAACUCCGAUUGCGAAGGCAGCUUACCAGUCUGCGACUGACGCUCAGGCACGAAAGUGUGG
rnacentral:rRNA from 1 species